CUCAGGCUCAAAAAAAAAAAAAGGGCUGAACUUCGUGAGGAUGAGAGAAGGAACCUUUGUCUCUGCUCACCGAAUAGGACAAUUCUAUGUGCGACCACCAGGGGGCGCGCUGGGGCAGCCUCGGGAGGCUGGGAAGUACCAGUGCCUGACCUGCCAAAGCCUUUCUUCCUCCUCCCUCCCUUUCUUCCUUCCUUUUUUCCUUCCUUCCUUCUCUCUUUCUUUUUUCCUUCCUUCUUUCUUUUUCUCUCUCAUUUCUUUCUUUUAUCUUUCUUUGUUCUCUUCCCCUUUUUCCUUUCCCAACUUUAAAAGUCUUUAUUAUGUUAAAUUUCAAACAUAGGCAAAAGAAGAUAACAUAGUAUAGCAAAGCCCCACUUGGCUAAGCUUUUGAGCUGUAUUUCCUCCAUUUCCUUCCAUUUAAACUGGCUCUUCCUGGUCCCCAUAUACCUCCCGUCCAGGCUUUUGUUUCCAGUACAGCAGGGGACAUCCUGCCAAGUUUUCUUGGGGAGAGGAGUCCAGGCUGUGAGUGGCCUCGUGAGACAGACGUGAGAGGGGGAAAUGCGGCCCGGGAGAGUUUUGAGGGACUGGGGGACACAGCAGAGGUCCCUGCAGCGGCGCCGGGGCAGCUCUCCAGAACUCCAACGGUCCUCCUAAGGCCUGGUCAGCGGGGAUUUGAGUGGCCUUCUGCUCGCAAACUUGCGUUUCAGAUCAGGCGUGAAGACGAUCCGCCGGACCCUGAUUGAAGCAGGGAGGGAUAAUUACUUGACGAAGGGACAAAGGCAGGCAGAACCAGAGAGACUGGCGGAGACACAGGGAGCCGAGGAGCAGCGGCGAUUGCCACGUGGAGGAGGGAGACUUCCUGGCAACUGGGCGGUGAGCCCCGUGCGACCUUCAGCUAGAGGGCAUGCCUCUCCUUCCUCCCCGCGCUGAAACAGAAUGGCUGAAAGGCGCUGCGUGGGGACGGGGGAAUGGAUUAUUGUGUCUGACGUCCUGUCCCAUCCAGAAAGCCCACAGCAUCACUGUUAGGUGGUCAGGAAAACGACGGAAUCUUCCCCGCCUUCAAAUCCCACAUGCUACCGUAUCCUCCCCAGCAACUCCACUCGCCCCCUGUGACAUUUCCCCUGUCCCUCCAACAAAAGCUGCCCUGGGCUCGUCCUUGUUCCCACGUGGCUUCGUCUGUCGGAGCAUCCAUUCCUGUUGGCCCCUUGCCCAGCUCUGCGUCGAAAGGUAUUGCGUGCAUCCCAGUCCCUCUGCACCUGGACCCUGCGGGAUCGAGGCUGCGCCCAGAUGUGAUGUGCAGAUAGCUGCAUGAAGAUGACACAGGCUGCUUAUUGAGAGGACAGAUUCUGGGGCCCCAUGGCAGACUCGUUGGAUUAAAAUCCCUGGUUAAUGGGCCAGGACUCUGGUCUCAGAGGACUCUUAGUGCCCCAGCCUUUGAGAUUGGCAGCGAACGGGAACAGCAUAGACAAGUGGAAGAGGCUGAGCUCUGCCGCCUUGUGAUGCAAAGAGAAUUUAUCAUCUACAGUUAAGAAUUGUGGGCCAGGCACCACGGCUCACACCUGUAAUUCCAGCAUUUCGGGAGGCCGAGGUGGGAGGAUUGUUUAAGGCCAGGAGUUGAAGACCAGCCUGGGCAACAUAGCAAGAGAAAAAAAUAAAAAAAUAAAAAAUAAAUAAAUAAAUAAAAGAAUUGUGUCAGACUCCUGAUGAAAUGAGAAGCUAUAAAAGAUUGUGUCUUAUACGGUUGUGCUGAGGCGGGGGGCCAUAUGAACCGGCCGGCACUGAGAUCUACAUGCCUAGUUCUACUUCCCACCGCAUCGCUUUUUUUUAUAUAUAUAUGUAAUUGUUUUUGGAGCAGCUUUAGGUUCACAGCAAGAUGGAGAGAAAGUACGGAGAUUUCCCAUCCACCCACUGCCCCACAUAUACACAGCCUCCUCCAUUAUCCACAUCUCCCACCAGUGUGGUCCAUUUGUUACAGCCAUGAACCUGCAUUGACACAUCGUAAUGACCCUUGGUUCACUCUUGGUGUUGUAUGUUCUAUGAGUUUUGACAAAUGCAUUAUUUGCAGCGUUGUAGUGUCACAGAGAAUAGUUUUACUGUCUUUAACCACCCCCAUGCUCUGCCUGUUCAUCCCUCCCUGCUCCUCAAUCCUUGGCACCUACUGAUCGAUUCCUGUCUUCCUAGAUUUGCCUUGUCCAGAAUGUCAUAUGUAGUCAGUCCUGUAGCCCUGAGCCCCACCACUGUGGAUUCAACCAACUUCACAUUGAAAACACUGGGAAAAAAUUGGCAUCUGUACUGAACAUGUUUGGGUAUUUUUUCCUUGUCAUUAUU